GCCCGGGUGGUGAAAUUGGUAGACACAAGGCACUUAAAAUGCCUCGCCGGCGAAACCGGCAUGCCGGUUCGAUCCCGGCCCCGGGCACCA
rnacentral:tRNA from 1 species